UGUCCGGGACACGACGAAUUUGGCCGCCAC
rnacentral:sRNA from 1 species